AUUGAACGCUGGCGGCAGGCCUAACACAUGCAAGUCGAACGAGUGGCGGACGGGUGAGUAAUGUCUGGGAAACUGCCUGAUGGAGGGGGAUAACUACUGGAAACGGUAGCUAAUACCGCAUACCAUCGGAUGUGCCCAGAUGGGAUUAGCUAGUAGGUGUGGUAACGGCUAACCUAGGCGACGAGCCAUAGCUGGUCUGAGAGGAUGAACAGCCACACUGGAACUGAGACACGGUCCAGACCCCUACGGGAGGCAGCAGUGGGGAAUAUUGCACAAUGGGCGCAAGCCUGAUGCAGCCAUGCCGCGUGUGUGAAGAAGGCCUUCGGGUUGUAAAGCACUUUCAGCGGGGAGGCGUUACCCGCAGAAGAAGCACCGGCUAACUCCGUGCCAGCCGCCGCGGUAAUAC
rnacentral:rRNA from 1 species